rnacentral:pre_miRNA from 1 species
AGUUACAAUUUUGAUCCAUUUUUUCUAUUAAAAACUGAUGUGAUUUAUGAAAUAACUAAAAAGAUACACAUAGUGUGUCAUGUAUACUCAUGUCAACGUAUAAAAACCAAAUUUUAAUGAUGAAAAUGGAUUGAAUUUUUAACA